UGUGUGUAUGCGUGUGUGUGUGUGUGUGUGUACAGUAUGCCAGUGUACUUUGCAUUUGUAUACACACGCACACAUACACACAUACAUACAUACAUAC